rnacentral:rRNA from 1 species
UAUGUAGGGUGCGAGCGUUGUCCGGAAUUAUUGGGCGUAAAGAGCUCGUAGGCGGUGUGUCACGUCGUUCGUGAAAACCUGCAGCUUAACUGUGGGCGUGCGGUCGAUACGGGCAUCACUGGAGUUCGGCAGGGGAGACUGGAAUUCCUGGUGUAGCGGUGAAAUGCGCAGAUAUCAGGAGGAACACCAAUGGCGAAGGCAGCUCGCUGGGACGGUACUGACGCUGAGACGCGAAAGCGUGGGGAGCAAACAGG